UUGGGGAUAUUAAUGGAUAUGGAUAUCCGAAAUUUUAUCCGAACCCGAAUCCGAAUGAAACGGAUAUAUCCGAUGGAUAUGGAUAUGGAUAUGGAUUUGGAUAUGGAUAUAAAAAAUAAAAACGCGACGGAUAUGGAUUCGGAUAUGGAUUUUGAUUGUACCCGACCCGAACCCGAACCCGAACCCGAAUUUAUUUAGUAUUAUAUAUAAUAUAUAUAUAUAAAUUUGAUGUUAUAUUUGAAUUUGUAUUUUAAAAAUUUAAAUUUAAUAUAAUAUAUUUUGAAAUAUUGAAAAAAGAAAUAAUUGUUUCGGGUUCAAAUUUUCGGGUUCGGGUUCGGGUUCGGGUUUCGGAUUUUUGGUCGGGUUGGGGUUUGGAUAUGGAUUUUUAAAAUCCGUUGUGUUCGGGUUCAGGUUCGGGUUUGGGUCUCGGGUUUGGAGUCAGGUUCGGGUUCGGGUUCGGAUUUUAAAAAUCCGCCUCGAAUUCGACCCAUUGACAUCUCUACUCCCCACUUACCAGAUCGUCACCCAUUCCAGAGUUACUAUAGUUCUAGCACCAUUAAUCCUCUUAACUUUUUGAGACUAGCCACAACUCAAAAUAUUAUAACCGUAUUAAGAGGUUUAGUCAUAUUAUUUUUUAUAUAUAUUCCAAAUCUGGAUGUAUCAGAUUCUUUUUCCCUUUAAAUCAUGGCGUCUUUGUUAGAUUUAAGUACACUCACAGUUAUCAGGUGAUAUAAGACUUGUCUCGUUAGCCUUAUCCGACUUUAUGGGGAUUACUUGCUGUAUAAUUCUGGUUUAGCCAGACUUAUCUCACAUUUUCAGCUGGUAAUUGACUCUGAUAUUAACUGUAAUGUCCUAAGAUUUGGAAUAGUCCUAUAUAUGAAAAAUAAUAUGGUUAAAUUUCUUAACGUGGCUACAACAUUUUGGGCAGUGGGUAGGCCCAAGAGAUUAGAAGAGUUAAGUAUGUUUGAGUUAGAGUAGUUUUAGGAUGUGUGACCCUUUGAAAAGCGGGGUGUCGCAGUAUUGAUCUUAAUGAAUGG
rnacentral:lncRNA from 1 species